GCAUUGAAAUGAUACAGAGAAGAUUAGCGUGGCUCCUGCACAAGAAUGACAUGCAAAUUUAUGAAGAGUUCCAUAUUAUU
rnacentral:snRNA from 1 species